UACGUAGGGGGCAAGCGUUGUCCGGAAUUAUUGGGCGUAAAGAGCGUGUAGGCGGUCCGGUAAGUCAGCUGUGAAAGUCAAGGGCUCAACCCUUGAAUGCCGGUUGAUACUGUCGGGCUAGAGUCCGGAAGAGGCGAGUGGAAUUCCCGGUGUAGCGGUGAAAUGCGCAGAUAUCGGGAGGAGCACCGAUUGCGAAGGCAGCUCGCUGGGACGGUACUGACGCUAAGGCGCGAAAGCGUGGGGAGCGAACAGG
rnacentral:rRNA from 1 species